AUACCUUUCUCGGCCUUUUGGCUAAGAUCAAGUGUAGUAUCUGUUCUUAUCAGUUUAAUAUCUGAUAUGUGCGUCAUCGACUCACACGAUAUUAACUCUAUUUUUUUAAGGGGGGAGGUUCACCACGGUAGCUUGCUAUUGGGGCCUUCAUGAGUCGCCUUGGUGUUGCACUACUGCCUCUGCCUGGCUCACCCCAC